UACGUAGGGUGCAAGCGUUGUCCGGAAUUAUUGGGCGUAAAGAGCUUGUAGGCGGUUUGUCGCGUCUGCUGUGAAAUUUCGGGGCUCAACCCCGAACUUGCAGUGGGUACGGGCAGACUAGAGUGUGGUAGGGGAGACUGGAAGUUCCUGGUGUAGCGGUGAAAUGCGCAGAUAUCAGGAGGAACACCGAUGGCGAAGGCAGGUCUCUGGGCCAUAACUGACGCUGAGAAGCGAAAGCAUGGGGAGCGAACAGG
rnacentral:rRNA from 1 species